rnacentral:rRNA from 1 species
AUUGAACGCUGGCGGCAUGCCUUACACAUGCAAGUCGAACGGCAGCACGGGAGCAAUCCUGGUGGCGAGUGGCGAACGGGUGAGUAAUAUAUCGGAACGUGCCCAGUCGUGGGGAUAACGUAGCGAAAGCUACGCUAAUACCGCAUACGAUCUAUGGAUGAAAGCGGGGGAUCGCAAGACCUCGCGCGAUUGGAGCGGCCGAUAUCAGAUUAGGUAGUUGGUGAGGUAAAGGCUCACCAAGCCGACGAUCUGUAGCUGGUCUGAGAGGACGACCAGCCACACUGGAACUGAGACACGGUCCAGGACUCCUACGGGAGCGAGCAGUGGGGAAUUUUGGGACAAUGGACGCAAGUCUGAUCCAGCCAUU